AGGAUAUAAAUAAAGAUUUAUUAUUUAUAUUACCCUGUUUUCCCCAAAAUAAGACAGUGUCUUAUAUUAAUUUUUGCUCUCAAAGAUGCACUAGGUCUUAUUUUCAGGGGAUGUCUUACAUUUCCAUGAAGAAGAAUUCACAUUUAUUGUUGAACAAAAAAUGAACAUUUAUUAUAUACUGUACUGUAGUUUUAAUCACAAACCAGCAUAACCAGACAAACUGUGAAUCCUAUCAAGAAUUUCUUGUUACUACCAUUAUUUCCAUGUACAACAAUCAAUGGUAUGUACAUUUAUCGAUCCUGCAUGCUCUGGUGUUCUGUUUGGCGGGCAUGCUUCCAAACAAAAACUUUGCUAGGUCUUACUUUCAGGGGAUGCCUUAUAUUUAGCAAUUCAGCAAAACCUCGACUAAGUCUUAUUUUCAGGGGAUGUCUUAUUUUCAGGGAAAUAGGGUAUUAUUAUUAUAUGGUGCCAGAAGAACAUGACAGACCUAAGGACAGCUUCCUUGAGAUGCCAUGCUAAAUCUUCCUUCACUUUCUCUCUCUAGGUUCUUCCAGAUCUCCCCACGAGUGAUCUCUCCCUUAAGAUUACCAUUGGAGCAAGCCCUGUCAUUGCCUUCGACACUACUGGUGGCAAUGUGACUCUCAUUGCUGACGUUGAGAUCUUGAGCAAGAAGGCAGAUGGAUCUAAAGUUUCUGUAGUUGCCGUGAGAUGUGUGAGUAGUAGUACAUUCAUAAAGAAAGGCUCUUCUUCUUUGUGGGGUCAGAAAUCUUGAACCCUGGAUGGAUUCUGUCAUGACAAUGGGAAGUGGGGAUCUAACCACCUUUUUCUCCCCAGUGACCAUUUUAUGUAUUUGCAGCGUAUUUCCUUGAAAGCUACGAUCUCUCUGGUCAAUGGUAAACUGAUCCUAGGCCUCUCACUCUCGAAGAACAUGUUCACACUGGUAUCUUCAGGCGCUGGCAUCACAGAUAUUAGCAGUCUUCUCGGCCCCAUCAAUGGCUUAGUGAAUGAAGUCAUUUUGCCUGUUUUGAAUGGACCUCUUUCUAAUGGACUACCUCUGCCUACAAUGCUAGGCAUUCCCCUGCUGAAUGCGACCAUCAAAACAGUUGUGAACGCCCUUGUGAUUUGCCUGUAAAAGCAGAGGACAGUCAAGCGGAAGCAUCUCCGCACAAAACGCCAGCCAGCAAAGGAUGCAAAGCUCUUCUAUGAAUAU
rnacentral:lncRNA from 1 species